UGACGGGUAGCCGGCCUGAGAGGGUGACCGGCCACAUUGGGACUGAGAUACGGCCCAGACUCCUACGGGAGGCAGCAGUGGGGAAUUUUCCGCAAUGGGCGAAAGCCUGACGGAGCAAUCUCGCGUGAGGGAUGACUGCCUAUGGGUUGUAAACCUCUUUUUUCAGGGAGGAAUAAAUGACGUGUACCUGAAGAAUAAGCAUCGGCUAACUCCGUGCCAGCAGCCGCGGUAAUACGGAGGGUGCGAGCGUUAAUCGGAAUUACUGGGCGUAAAGCGCACGCAGGCGGUUAUAUAAGCUAGAUGUGAAAGCCCCGGGCUUAACCUGGGA
rnacentral:rRNA from 1 species